rnacentral:rRNA from 1 species
CUGUGAGCUCGAUGAGUAGGGCGGGACACGUGGUAUCCUGUCUGAAUAUGGGGGGACCAUCCUCCAAGGCUAAAUACUCCUGACUGACCGAUAGUGAACCAGUACCGUGAGGGAAAGGCGAAAAGAACCCCGGCGAGGGGAGUGAAAAAGAACCUGAAACCGUGUACGUACAAGCAGUGGGAGCACAGAGCAAUCUGUGUGACUGCGUACCUUUUGUAUAAUGGGUCAGCGACUUAUAUUCUGUAGCAAGGUUAACCGAAUAGGGGAGCCGAAGGGAAACCGAGUCUUAACUGGGCGUUAAGUUGCAGGGUAUAGACCCGAAACCCGGUGAUCUAGCCAUGGGCAGGUUGAAGGUUGGGUAACACUAACUGGAGGACCGAACCGACUAAUGUUGAAAAAUUAGCGGAUGACUUGUGGCUGGGGGUGAAAGGCCAAUCAAACCGGGAGAUAGCUGGUUCUCCCCGAAAGCUAUUUAGGUAGCGCCUCGUGAAUUCAUCUCCGGGGGUAGAGCACUGUUUCGGCAAGGGGGUCAUCCCGACUUACCAACCCGAUGCAAACUGCGAAUACCGGAGAAUGUUAUCACGGGAGACACACGGCGGGUGCUAACGUCCGUCGUGAAGAGGGAAACAACCCAGACCGCCAGCUAAGGUCCCAAAGUCAUGGUUAAGUGGGAAACGAUGUGGGAAGGCCCAGACAGCCAGGAUGUUGGCUUAGAAGCAGCCAUCAUUUAAAGAAAGCGUAAUAGCUCACUGGUCGAGUCGGCCUGCGCGGAAGAUGUAACGGGGCUAAACCAUGCACCGAAGCUGCGGCAGCGACACUGUGUGUUGUUGGGUAGGGGAGCGUUCUGUAAGCCUGUGAAGGUGUACUGUAAGGUAUGCUGGAGGUAUCAGAAGUGCGAAUGCUGACAUAAGUAACGAUAAAGCGGGUGAAAAGCCCGCUCGCCGGAAGACCAAGGGUUCCUGUCCAACGUUAAUCGGGGCAGGGUGAGUCGACCCCUAAGGCGAGGCCGAAAGGCGUAGUCGAUGGGAAACAGGUUAAUAUUCCUGUACUUGGUGUUACUGCGAAGGGGGGACGGAGAAGGCUAUGUUGGCCGGGCGACGGUUGUCCCGGUUUAAGCGUGUAGGCUGGUUUUCCAGGCAAAUCCGGAAAAUCAAGGCUGAGGCGUGAUGACGAGGCACUACGGUGCUGAAGCAACAAAUGCCCUGCUUCCAGGAAAAGCCUCUAAGCAUCAGGUAACAUCAAAUCGUACCCCAAACCGACACAGGUGGUCAGGUAGAGAAUACCAAGGCGCUUGAGAGAACUCGGGUGAAGGAACUAGGCAAAAUGGUGCCGUAACUUCGGGAGAAGGCACGCUGAUAUGUAGGUGAAGUCCCUCGCGGAUGGAGCUGAAAUCAGUCGAAGAUACCAGCUGGCUGCAACUGUUUAUUAAAAACACAGCACUGUGCAAACACGAAAGUGGACGUAUACGGUGUGACGCCUGCCCGGUGCCGGAAGGUUAAUUGAUGGGGUCAGCGCAAGCGAAGCUCUUGAUCGAAGCCCCGGUAAACGGCGGCCGUAACUAUAACGGUCCUAAGGUAGCGAAAUUCCUUGUCGGGUAAGUUCCGACCUGCACGAAUGGCGUAAUGAUGGCCAGGCUGUCUCCACCCGAGACUCAGUGAAAUUGAACUCGCUGUGAAGAUGCAGUGUACCCGCGGCAAGACGGAAAGACCCCGUGAACCUUUACUAUAGCUUGACACUGAACAUUGAGCCUUGAUGUGUAGGAUAGGUGGGAGGCUUUGAAGUGUGGACGCCAGUCUGCAUGGAGCCGACCUUGAAAUACCACCCUUUAAUGUUUGAUGUUCUAACGUGGACCCGUGAUCCGGGUUGCGGACAGUGUCUGGUGGGUAGUUUGACUGGGGCGGUCUCCUCCUAAAGAGUAACGGAGGAGCACGAAGGUUGGCUAAUCCUGGUCGGACAUCAGGAGGUUAGUGCAAUGGCAUAAGCCAGCUUGACUGCGAGCGUGACGGCGCGAGCAGGUGCGAAAGCAGGUCAUAGUGAUCCGGUGGUUCUGAAUGGAAGGGCCAUCGCUCAACGGAUAAAAGGUACUCCGGGGAUAACAGGCUGAUACCGCCCAAGAGUUCAUAUCGACGGCGGUGUUUGGCACCUCGAUGUCGGCUCAUCACAUCCUGGGGCUGAAGUAGGUCCCAAGGGUAUGGCUGUUCGCCAUUUAAAGUGGUACGCGAGCUGGGUUUAGAACGUCGUGAGACAGUUCGGUCCCUAUCUGCCGUGGGCGCUGGAGAACUGAGGGGGGCUGCUCCUAGUACGAGAGGACCGGAGUGGACGCAUCACUGGUGUUCGGGUUGUCAUGCCAAUGGCACUGCCCGGUAGCUAAAUGCGGAAGAGAUAAGUGCUGAAAGCAUCUAAGCACGAAACUUGCCCCGAGAUGAGUUCUCCCUGACCCUUUAAGGGUCCUGAAGGAACGUUGAAGACGACGACGUUGAUAGGCCGGGUGUGUAAGCGCAGCGAUGCGUUGAGCUAACCGGUACUAAUGAACCGUGAGGCUUAACCUU